rnacentral:rRNA from 1 species
GGGCCCGCACAAGCGGUGGAGCAUGUGGUUUAAUUCGACGCAACGCGCAGAACCUUACCAGGCCUUGACAUCCCAUGACCGGCGCAGAGAUGCGCUUUUCCCUUCGGGGACGUGGAGACAGGUGCUGCAUGGCUGUCGUCAGCUCGUGUCGUGAGAUGUUGGGUUAAGUCCCGCAACGAGCGCAACCCUCGCCUUCAGUUGCCAUCAUUCAGUUGGGCACUCUGGAGGGACUGCCGGUGACAAGCCGGAGGAAGGUGGGGAUGACGUCAAGUCCUCAUGGCCCUUACGGCCUGGGCUACACACGUGCUACAAUGGUGGUGACAGAGGGCAGCGAUCCCGCGAGGGGGAGCAAAUCUCUAAAAGCCAUCUCAGUUCAGAUCGCACUCUGCAACUCGAGUGCGUGAAGGUGGAAUCGCUAGUAAUCGCAGAACAGCAGGCUGCGGUGAAUACGUUCCCGGGCCUU